CGCACUGCCUUCUGGGAGUAGGUCUGCGAGUGGCGCCCGGUAACCGUCUUCUCCCAGGCAAGGAGAAGGCGAUCUGUGCGCAUGCGGAGGCUGGCAACCGCCAUCCAGACGAGGACUAGUGCGCAUGACAGGAAUGGCAAUCUUGAGCUUCUCUCGCCGAGGCUGGGUCAAGGGAAUGGAAGGGGUGCGUGUGAAGAGCACGGUCUGUUCGGUGGAAACAUCUUAUGGUUAUGAAGCAGACAUUGUAGCAACCAAUUGAUUUCUGUGCAUGAUCAGCCUGCAAAUCACAGCCAUCUAACUACCAACCAAAAUCUCAACAUCGUUACUAUGCAACAUAUGGAGUCCUUAAAGAUACUCCAAGACUGAAAAUGAUACAUCCCUGACCUCUGGAUAUGGCCGUUUUGAAAGGGCAACUAGGUUAAAUAUUUUCACAGUGGAACAUGGAAAAUCAAAUCAAAUGGAGACCUUUGAAUGGUCCAAGAUCAACAGGUGCUGUCUGAGGAAGAAAACUGGCAAAGAUCUGGCCCAGAAGAAUAAAUAGGGAGAAAAUUCAUUCAUAUUAUCCACCUCUUAUACAAAACCAAAGCAAAAUUCAACAGAAUAAGGAAGUCGUUCUACGCUUUUAAAUAAAGGCAAAUUAAUGUCCCAAGGCACUGACCACACUGUGAGCUGAAAGGGGAGGGAGGAUCGGAGUGAACUGGUUACAUGACUUAUCAAGCUCAGUUGCAGGGAGCCACAUGGUAUAGUAGCCUUCCAAAGCUCAUUGCUCAGCUGGCUCCUCAAUAAACUGCAGCCGCUGUGCUAUCCGAACCUUCUGAAGAACAAUACACGCGUAAACUACACACAGAAUAAAAAAAACCCACUGUAUUCAUAAACUGUUCAAACUUUAAUGAAACAGCUCGUUACGUCCAACCGAAGCAAUAAAACCGGUUUGAAUAUGCUCUAUUGUGAUCGUUACAUUUCGCUAAACAAAAGGGAAGCAUGCCUAUACAGCAAGAAACAACUUUUAGUAGUUAACAACACAUACAGCGACUCUGGUCUCGCUGGUAAUUAACUUUCUCUGCUGCCUCAUCUUAACCAGAGACAAAGGAUGGGAUUGAAAACGACAUUCUUGCAUUGAUCCAACUCACAUGAUGGAGCCGGCAUUGCUGGACAACGACAACUCAGACAAACAGAGUGAAAGACAACUGAAAUCACCGUCAAUCGUAAUGUAUCACAGUUUGCUCUUUUUACAUUUCAAGAAAUACUUCAGUAUUAAAUUACCAAUACAGCGUCAAACAACUCUUCGCCGUAUGAUCCCUCACAGGAAAAUACAUACGCUCGAAAGUCCACCACAGAGAAAAAAAAGCAAUACUGACUGUUCCUAGCUUCCUCAAAAGUUUUUCUCAGUCAGCCACAAAGAGCAUGCGCAGAGCCAGCCCUCUGCUUUGUCACAGCGCAAUCUCCAAAUGGACAAUAUACACCGGGUGUACAGGAAAACCGUUAAAGGAGCAGUCUGUGUACUGGGUGUACAGGAAAACCGUUAAAGGAGCAGUCUGUGUACUGGGUGUACAGGAAAAACGUUAAAGGAGCAGUCUGUGUACUGGGUGUACAGGAAAACCGUUAAAGGAGCAGUCUGUGUACUGGGUGUACAGGAAAACCGUUAAAGGAGCAGUCUGUGUACUGCCACGGUCUCACCACUAAUCUUCUGGUUUUCCAAAGUAACCAACUUUGAUUUAUGACGCAGUAUAAACUACAGACCCAUUUGCGUACAAGGAAUGCUUUCUGGUCUGAUUCAUUACGGAUCUCACUUCAAACUGUAGUCAGUGAUCUUGCUUCUUAUAUUUUAUACUUUUAAAAAGGAGUAUAAAACAAUCACAUUUCCGAAUAUUUCUGUGGUGUUAAUUUUCAAACUCAUGGAGACCAGAAAUCAUCACCUUCCUAAAUUUAAAGGGAACACUUUUAGACUGACCAUGUCACAAAUGGAAUGUGCAAUCAAUUCAAUCAGAAACAAUGUUAUUGGAUACUUUAAAAUCAAAAAUAACAUUUCUUAACUUGCAGUGAAAUACAAAGGUAAGAAUGAGAAAAGAAAAUUGAGAUCUAUGUCAGCACAGGAACAGAACUUAAAAACCACAAUAAGUCUCCAGAAACUGGGUAUUAAAACAACAUUGAAGCUGGAUGCUUGCAGUGCUGAAGAGGAUGAUGACGAAAAGGAGGAAGAAUCUUCAUCAGCAUAACGUGUAUGCACGGGGGACAAAUCCCUAAUCUGUCCUUCCUCCCACAUAUCCCCCCCUCCCACCUCAAACCCCAUCCCCACCUCCUAUCGACUAACCUCAUUCCGCCCCCAUAAUACAGCUUCUCUGGCACAUCAAAUGAUAACAAUGGACACGAAUGGUAAAGAAUGACAAAUCUUUCAUUAACCUACCUUGAUCCUGUAGAACCACCCUCUAAUGGAGCUUUUUGUCCCCAAUUUCUGAUUAAUGAUUUGAAGCACAUAUUUUGACAGCAAAUCUCCACAGCUGCUGUUAGAACUGGUGAUUUUGUCCAGCACUUUGUGUUCUAAUUCCACCGGUUCAGCAUCUGCAAUACAUUGCUUUUAUUUACAUUGGUGAAGACACAUCCAGAGUAACAUAUAUGGUUUCCUUGCCAGUGGAAGAAUAUAUCUGCUCGAGAGAUGACGCACUAAAUGUUCACAGGAUUGAUUAUUUGGAUGAAGGGAUUGAG